AAAACGGAGAGUUUGAUCCUGGCUCAGGAUGAACGCUGGCGGUAUGCUUAACACAUGCAAGUCGAACGGGAUGCUUAGGCAUCUAGUGGCGGACGGGUGAGUAACGCGUGAGAAUCUGGCUCCAGGUCGGGGAUAACAGUUGGAAACGACUGCUAAUACCGGAUGUGCCGAGAGGUGAAAGAUUUAUUGCCUGGAGAUGAGCUCGCGUCUGAUUAGCUAGUUGGUGGUGUAAGGGACCACCAAGGCGUCGAUCAGUAGCUGGUCUGAGAGGAUGAUCAGCCACACUGGGACUGAGACACGGCCCAGACUCCUACGGGAGGCAGCAGUGGGGAAUUUUCCGCAAUGGGCGAAAGCCUGACGGAGCAAUACCGCGUGAGGGAGGAAGGCUCUUGGGUCGUAAACCUCUUUUCUCAAGGAAGAAGAAAGUGACGGUACUUGAGGAAUAAGCAUCGGCUAACUCCGUGCCAGCAGCCGCGGUAAUACGGAGGAUGCAAGCGUUAUCCGGAAUGAUUGGGCGUAAAGGGUCUGCAGGUGGAACUGAAAGUCUGCUGUUAAAGAGUUUGGCUUAACCAAAUAAAAGCGGUGGAAACUACAGAACUAGAGUGCGGUAGGGGCAAAAGGAAUUCCUGGUGUAGCGGUGAAAUGCGUAGAUAUCAGGAAGAACACCGGUGGCGAAAGCGUUUUGCUAGACCGUAACUGACACUGAGGGACGAAAGCUAGGGGAGCGAAUGGGAUUAGAUACCCCAGUAGUCCUAGCCGUAAACGAUGGAUACUAGGCGUGGCUUGUAUCGACCCGAGCCGUGCCGGAGCUAACGCGUUAAGUAUCCCGCCUGGGGAGUACGCACGCAAGUGUGAAACUCAAAGGAAUUGACGGGGGCCCGCACAAGCGGUGGAGUAUGUGGUUUAAUUCGAUGCAACGCGAAGAACCUUACCAAGACUUGACAUCCUGCGAAUCCCGGUGAAAGCUGGGAGUGCCUUAGGGAGCGCAGAGACAGGUGGUGCAUGGCUGUCGUCAGCUCGUGUCGUGAGAUGUUGGGUUAAGUCCCGCAACGAGCGCAACCCUCGUUUUUAGUUGCCAGCAUUAAGUUGGGCACUCUAGAGAGACUGCCGGUGACAAACCGGAGGAAGGUGAGGAUGACGUCAAGUCAGCAUGCCCCUUACGUCUUGGGCUACACACGUACUACAAUGCUACGGACAGAGGGCAGCAAGCCAGGGAUGGCAAGCGAAUCCAGAAACCGUAGCUCAGUUCAGAUCGAAGGCUGCAACUCGCCUUCGUGAAGGAGGAAUCGCUAGUAAUUGCAGGUCAGCAUACUGCAGUGAAUUCGUUCCCGGGCCUUGUACACACCGCCCGUCACACCAUGGAAGUUGGUCACGCCCGAAGUCAUUACCCCAACCGAAAGGAGGGGGAUGCCUAAGGUAGGACUGGUGACUGGGGUGAAGUCGUAACAAGGUAGCCGUACCGGAAGGUGUGGCUGGAUCACCUCCUUUU
rnacentral:rRNA from 2 species